GUGCGAGACCGAUAGCGAACAAGUACCGUGAGGGAAAGAUGAAAAGAACUUUGAAAAGAGAGUUAAAGAGUACCUGAAACUGCUGAAAGGGAACCGAAUCGUUUCCAGUGUCUAUAAUCCAUGGUAUAUUUCAUUGGUGCGUAAGUGCGUGCAGCGUUUUGGAAGUAGUUUUCUGCUCCUGUCGUUGUUGUGCAUUUGCUUGCUGGUGCCCUGUGCUGUGGUGGGACGUCAGAGUCAGUUUGUAUGUUGCGGGAAAUGGUUAUUGGGGAGGUAGGUCACUUCGGUGGCUGUUAUAUCCUGAUAACUAGUCGUCGUGGCUGAGACUGAGGUGCCUACAAUGUGCUUUCGAGUCUGCGGGCUUCUCGUGUUGCUGUUUGCUUGGAUAGCUUGCUAUGUUUGUGAAUAAGUCGUGCGAUUGAGACCUGUAGUAACUUGUUGCUGUUCGGGACUUUGAA
rnacentral:rRNA from 2 species